rnacentral:tRNA from 1 species
GGUGACUUAGUAGUAGAGUGCUUGCCUUGCAUGCAUAAGGCCCUGAGUUCGAUUCCUCAGCACCA